AGUGAACGCUGGCGGUAGGCCUAACACAUGCAAGUCGAACGGCAGCACAGUAAGAGCUUGCUCUUACGGGUGGCGAGUGGCGGACGGGUGAGGAAUACAUCGGAAUCUACUUUUUCGUGGGGGAUAACGUAGGGAAACUUACGCUAAUACCGCAUACUACCUACGGGUUAAAGCAGGGGAUCUUCGGACCUUGCGCGAUUGAAUGAGCCGAUGUCGGAUUAGCUAGUUGGCGGGGUAAAGGCCCACCAAGGCGACGAUCCGUAGCUGGUCUGAGAGGAUGAUCAGCCAAACUGGAACUGAGACACGGUCCAGACUCCUACGGGAGGCAGCAGUGGGGAAUAUUGGACAAUGGGCGAAAGCCUGAUCCAGCCAUACCGCGUGGGUGAAGAAGGCCUUCGGGUUGUAAAGCCCUGUUGUUGGGAAAGAAAAGAAGCAGGUUAAUACCCCGCUGUUCUGACGGUACCCAAAGAAUAAGCACCGGCUAACUUCGUG
rnacentral:rRNA from 1 species